rnacentral:rRNA from 1 species
UACGUAGGGGGCAAGCGUUGUCCGGAAUCAUUGGGUCGUAAAGGAGCGCGUAGGCGGCCCUGUAAGUCCGCUGUGAAAGUCAAGGGCUCAACCCUUGAAUGCCGGUGGAUUACUAGCAGGGCUAGAGUCCGGAAGAGGCGAGUGGAAUUCCUGGUGUAGCGGUGAAAUGCGCAGAUAUCAGGAGGAACACCAGCGGCGAAGGCGGCGCUCUGGGCCGGUACUGACACUGAGGAGCGAAAGCGUGGGUAGCAAACAG